UAGGGAGUAGUAUAGUGGAAGUACGUGGGGUUUUGAGCCCCUUGGUGCAGGCUCGGUUCCUGUCUUCCUA
rnacentral:tRNA from 1 species